rnacentral:rRNA from 1 species
GACUAACGCUGGCGGCGUGCCUAAUACAUGCAAGUCGAACGGGAUUCUUUGAUCAGCUUGCUGAGAGAAGGAUCUAGUGGCGGACGGGUGAGUAACGCGUGGGAAUCUGCCUCUUACUGGGGGAUAACAGUGGGAAACUACUGCUAAUACCGCAUAAGAUCUUCGGAUGAAAGGUGCAACUGCACCGGUAAGAGAUGAGCCCGCGUCCCAUUAGCUAGUUGGUGAGGUAAAGGCUCACCAAGGCGACGAUGGGUAGCCGGCCUGAGAGGGUGAACGGCCACACUGGGACUGAGACACGGCCCAGACUCCUACGGGAGGCAGCAGUAGGGAAUCUUCCGCAAUGGGCGCAAGCCUGACGGAGCGACGCCGCGUGAGGGACGAAGGCCUCGGUUGUAACUACUGUCUGGGGGAGUGGAGAACGGACGGUACCCCGGACGGGAACGGACCCGGCCGUAACCUACGUGCCAGCAGCCGCGGUAAGAGUAGUACGA